rnacentral:lncRNA from 1 species
AUUUACUGCAUUCUUACUUUGCACCAGACACUGGUCGGACAAUUGAUAAUCAAAAGAAGGGCACAGUUCUCAAAGUUUAUGGUCUAGGCCAAAGGGUUAUCAGUGAAUUGUGUUUAGAUCAUUAUCUGACUACAGAUAAGAAAGAUCCAAUUUAGACAGGGUGUGGGAAUUGAGAAGAUCGAGGAGGAUCAUCCCAGAAGAAUUCUGGUAGGAAGAAGUCCCUGCAUUUGGUUUUCACCAAUGGGAAUGUGUACUGAGCACCUUCUUCCUCCCAGAGGCAGGAAACCAAUCCCAGGAUGACUCUGUUCAGCUACUUUGAUGUCCUACCAUUAGCUGACCAUGCUAGCAGCAACCAGCAAAGCUUUCUAGAUGGAUUUGUCCUGUGUAUCUGCAAGUUUGUACCCUUUGACCUACCAUCUCCCAGCUCCUCCUCCUCCCCACAUCUGCCAUUGGAGGCGAACUUGAGCAACCACAGGAGAACUGUGAUGUAUUUGGUGAAAGUAAGGAUGGUGCCUGAGACGCAAAACUCACUAGCGCAGUGAAUGGCCCUACUGCUCGUCGCCACAGAACUGUCUGCAUGUCUGGUUUAUUACCUAUCACUUUUUCCUUUGCUCAUGUUAGGGGUGCCCACGGAAACCACAUAACCCCAGAUAUACCUAAUCAUUUUGCUUUAAAUAUCACCAUUUGUGAGCCCCUGGGUUUCAUACUCAGUACCACAAAAAAUCCAUACUAUUAAAAUAUGAAAACAUAAGCAUAACCCAAAAGAAGCAGAGACUUUCAGAUAGCCUCUUCCUCAACAGGAGCUUGGCCCAGCAAUUUUUGCUGCACCCCCUUGUUCUUGGUGAAAUCUAAAAUAAAGACCAUAAGUCAGCAGCUCUCGCUAUAUAUUAAAGAAAACAAAAUCAAAUUUUGAGAUGAAAGAACCUUUCCAUGUCAGUGUAGUGUGAGGUGGUGAUCUUAAAAAUUGUAGUCCUAGAGCCACACUGGUGUGGGUUUGGGUCUUGGCUCUCUUUCUAGUUAUGUGGUGUGGGGAAUCUGCUCUGUCUCCCUAAUACUCUUAUUUUCAUCAAUAAAAUGGAAUUGUUUCGAGAAUUAAAUAUGAUAUUUAAAGUGCUGAGCAUGC